GUACUGUACCUUACGACUCACUGGUGAGGGGACCAAAUGGCUCAAUACAUUUGGUAGCUAGCGUACGAUACAUUAGCUACGAUAUCAGAAAUAUGUAUGUAAUUUAGCAGAAAAUGACAUGUAUGACUUCGGGUAGUUAAGUUAAAUACCGGCCGUGCAACUGCGUCCUCCUUGUCAGGGGUAGAGUUAACGUUAUUCAGUUGCUUUGUCGGAAAGCAGCAGGAGCGUAUUGGUCUGGUUUGGCUAGCAACACAAUUUAGCUAACUGUUAACAUUUUAUUUGUAUUAACAAACAAGCUAGCUAACCUAGCCGUGUGAAACCAGUCUGAGGUAAACCUCUAGACAUUUGUGACUGCGGAGAUGUCCAAGGCUCCAGAUUCCCCUGCACGGUCCCGCUCCAGAUCAAAGUCCAGAUCCAGGUCUUACACUCGGUCUCGCUCGAGAAGCCGCUCCAGAUCCAGGAAGCACCGCUACAGUUCCAGGUCUCGCUCCCGCUCCAGAUCUCACUCUCCGUCCCACGGCAGGAACUAUCCCACCAGAGACUAUCAGAACAACCAGGGUUACCAGGGUUACCAGAGAGGCUACAACCGCGGCUUCCGCAGACCCUUCUACUUCCGCGGUAGAACCCGGGGCUUCUACCCUCGCCGUGGUUACCAGAGAGGAGGGAACAGCUAUGGCUACAGAGCCAACAACUGGCGGGGGGGUGGCCACCGGGACGGGCCACACCGCGACCAGGAUCACCACGGUCCGCAUAGCCCCAGGAGAGGCCGCUCACGCUCCCGCACUCCUAGGAAACGCUCGGGCAGCCGCAGCCACUCGCGGUCUCGAUACUCUGACCGCUCGUCCUCCAGGGGUUCUCGGUGGUCUCGGGGGCGCCACAGCUCGUCUCGCUCCCGUUCCUCAUCCCCGCGGCAACGCCGCAGCAGCCCUAGCUCGGGGAAGCCCGGCUCCAAGGAUGUAAAGGACAGGCCUACGCCAGCAGAGGCCAAGGGGGAGAGUGGAGGAGGGGCUGGGGAGCAGGCAGAAGGACAGGGGGGAGAGGCCAGUAGUCAUGAUAAGGAUUCUGCUGGGAAAUGGCAGGGUCUGAGUGACUAUGACACCAGCCCCAAACGCAGCAGUCCUGCUGUUGGUGCCAACCAGGGAAAAUCAGAACCCAAAGGGCCGUUGUGGAGAACUAUCGGCAGCACUGGCAGUGCUCCCUCCACCAACAGCCCACCGGGCUCCACCAAGGCCGGGCCAACCGCCUCCUUCAGCGGGUUUGGCUUCCUUGGCAAGGAGGAUCCCACCAGGGCAGACGAUAAGAGUGCCAUUUCCUCUGCUUUCAAAAAGUUCUUGGCAGAAAACAAGAGCAAAAAGCAGCAGGCGGCGGCAGAGUGGGAGAAUGGCCGGGACAGGGACCAAAGCACCACGGACGGAGACAGCAGAGAGAAAGGCAAGAGCAGGACUAGCAGUGGCCUCUUAAACAUAACAGCAGGUUCCUUCAGCUCAAAGGCCGAUAAGUCCUUGCCCUUCCUGGACAAAGCUGAAGAGGCCUUCCUCAAGUCUCAGGCUGCAGGGAGAGAGAGGGAGAGGGAGGCAGAAGAGGAGGCCAAGCCCAAAGGAGCCACCCUGACAACACGGGACGUGUUUGGGAAGUGGGAAGACGAGCCCCAUUACUACCCCCCAGGGAAGGACGAGGAGAGACUGAGCGACACGGCGGAAGAUGUGGUAGAAGACCUGGAGCACAUGGAGGAGGAGCUCUACCGCAGCCGCAAGCAGGCCUCCAAGAAAGAAGAGAAGUCCAAGAAGAAGGAGAAGAAAGACAAGGAGAAGAGCAGUACGUCCCCAGCCAUAGCAAACGUGGCCCUUAGGGGUUCAGGUAGCAGGGAGAAGGACAGGCCCCUGGCCCUAUUCCCCAUCUCUAGGGUGGAGUCACCCCUACCCAGGCCCUCUGGAAAGAGGGAUGACUUUGAGCUUAGUAUCAACUCUUUUGACAAGAUGCCCAGCUCCUCAUCUGGAGGUCUGACCAAGGAGUGUGGUAUGUCCAGGGAUCUGGUGCAUCCCGCUAAGAAAGAUCACGGAGAGUUCCGUUCCAUCUUCCAGCAUAUUCAGGCAGCUCAGCUCCGACGCAGCCCCUCGGAGCUUUUUGCGCAGCACAUUGUCACCAUUGUGCACUACAUCAAAGCCCAACAUUUCAGCUCUUCAGGCAUGACUUUAAGUGAGCGAUUUGCCAUGUACCAAAGAAAAGCCGCUGAGAUGGAAUUGAUGAAGCCAAGGAAGAGUCCAGAAAUCCAUAGGAGAAUCGAUGUCUCCCCCAGUGCGUUUAAGAGACACUCUCACCUGCUAGAUGAGCUGGAGGACUGCAGCUACAAGGAUCAGGGUAAAAAACCUAAAGGUGACCCAAUGGACCUGCGUCUGGAUAUAGAGCGCCGUAAAAGGUUUUCUGGGAAGGAGCCUGGGCAGCAUAAACGGGACGGGGGCAAGGGCUCCGGAGGCUCCCGAGGACCCAGCCAAGAGAGGUCCUCAGAGAGAUCCGCCAAACACCACAAGAAAUCCAAAAAAACCAAGAAGAAGCGUGAUCGCUCUCCAUCCUCCUCCUCUUCCUCCUCCUCUCCCUCUCCCUUCAGAGGAGGGUUCAGAGGUAAAGACCACAUGAUGGGGGAGGAGAUGGAGCACAUGGACCAGGGCUACAAUAAACCUCGCUUCGGGCCCCGGGACUACGGAGGCCCCAUGGAUAGGGGUCUCUCCCGGGAUUAUGAGGGCCACAUGGAGAGGGGUCCCCCCCGGGAUUACGAGGGCCACAUGGAUAGGGGCCGAGGACGUGGAGGAGGAUUUACUGUGCUUCUCUGCUCUGUUCCUUCCUCCUAAUGAUGAUGAUGAUAAGGAAAAUGAGGAGGAUGAUGAUUCUAUUUCACACUUAAUCCAUACCUGAUUACUAAAGCUCCCCAGAGUGAGAGGAGGUGGAAGGGGCUGGAACAGGGGCAAUUACCAAGGAAACAACAACAGCAACCCCCCUCCUAAUAUGAGCAACGCCCCCCAAGAGCGCCCGCCAGACGAGGAGUGGGACCCAGAGUACACUCCUAAGAGUAGGAAAUAUUACUUUCAUGAUGACCGAGAGGGAGAGAAGACGUGGCUGGAGAGCCGCGGCCGAGGGGCCUUCCCCCGCAGCAGGGGACGCUUCAUCUACCGCAAGGGCGGCAGCAGCCCCAACAAGUGGACUCAUGACAAGUUCCAGGGGGAUGGGGAGGAGGGGGGCGAGCAUGGGGAGGAGCACCACACAGAGAUGGACCAUAAAGACAACAUCCAGUCCGGAGAACCCUCAGCUUCCAAGCUGUAGUAGACCCUCCUCUUCCUUCAUCCAGAGCUUUCUGUUCAUCUGUUUGAGGUCAUCUGAUUAUCUGCCGUCAUCUCUGUGUAAGCUUGAAGAGUCUAAACUCUGGCUACCUUCCCUGCACCUAGUCAGUCACAGCAUCAGAAUGUACACGGUUGUUUUCCUAUCGUUGACUCAAGCCACUUUCAGUAAGGGUUAUAUGGGAGAAAAUGUUUAAUUUAACUUGAAUGAAGGGGCAAGCUACUUAAUUUUAAUUUUGAAUUACUACCAUUAAUUUGUAUUUGUUUCUGGGUGUUUGAUAUGUAAAGAUGUGCUUUUAUCUGUAUUUGCUUGUUUGUUACGAACAAUAGCAGACUGGUUUCCGAUCGUCUCCUGUGGGAUAUACUACAAACAGGAUAAAGGAGUUGGUAAGCUAACUUGCCUACAGUAAAUAUUAUGAAAUAAGAAAGGUAUUUAUUUUUGGAGUCAAUUAGACCAUGCCCAGAUUGAAAUAGGCAUGGUCUAAUUGACUCAACAACCAAAAAUCCAUAUGUAAGUUUAGCUUUCUUAAUGAACCAGAAUAUCUGUAGUUAUUUCUGGUUGGCUAACUCAUUGAUCCUGCUUUGUAGUACACCCCUCUGGGUCCUCUGAAAUGGUUACGUUAUUGUAGCUACGUUGAUUUAAAGCAAAGUAACUUUCCUCAAGACAUAAAAAUGACAUGGAUUUGUGCCUUAAAAUUGAUAUUCAUAGUGAUAUGUAUUGCUCUUAUACUUUUGUCGUACAGCUUUUCUGCUGUACUAGCUAAAGCAAGCCUUUAGCUAAACAGUUGUUUUGGGCAGUGCUAGGUUUUUGAUGGUGUUUUGCAUGACACUUUGGUCCCAUGGGGUGGUACGGUUAGAGUCCAAUCUCUACUGUGGGUACUGGGCUCAUACUAGAACUGGGCGAUGUGGACAAAAAUCCAUAUCACGAUAAAUUGCCUGAAUUGAUGUGAGAACAAUACAUUUCUAACAAUUAACACAGUUAUUAUUUUUUUUUAAAUGAUACUUUCAACUACUACUAGUUUGAUGGUUGUAGCCAUCAAUUAUCCAAUUAACAAUCACCCAUAUUAGCUAACUUUAUUUAAAGGUUGACAUUUCUCUACUAUAGGCUACUUAUCGUAUUGAACGAUAUCGGCAAAAUACCUGCGAUUUAAAAUUCGGUUUAUCGUCCCAGCUAUUGCUCACAUACCAGUAUGUCCUGCCACGUUGAGAAUUCUCCAUCCUACAUAAGCAUUCUCAUUAUCACCAAUACUUCUGGUCUUCUACUUGUUGGAGUUGAGCUUGUUUCUGUGUGGUUUGUUCCCAUUGAUACUACCUGUUUUUAAGCAUCAAGAGGACUUUCACUGUGUAAAAUGAAAGGUCUGCUACAAAAAAAUAUUUUGUUUCACAGCUGACAAAUAGCAGGUGUAUGUUCGCGCCUGUGUCAUAUAAUUUUAGGUAAAUCACUAUUUAGAUUUUUUUAAUGAAUAUAAUUAUAGGAAAAAUAAGUAGUUAUGUAACAAACAAAAUUAUUGAUAUUGAGGCCUUUUAUAUUGGGAGUUUAAAUGUUUUAAAUAUACUGAACAAAAAUAUAAACGCAACAUGUAAUGUGUUGGUCCCAUGUUCAUGAGCUGAAAUAAAAGAUCACAAUUUUCCAUA